GAUGCUAUUGUAUGUUAAGGUAUGAGAAGAGAAUCUUCUAUUUAUAAAAUUUCAAAACAAGAGGUUAGCUAAAUAUGGAAAAAAAUUAUAUUUUUUCUUUCAAGAAAAGUAAAAGUAAUUAUGGUAACUUUUAUUUUCCUUCUAAGAAAAAAUAAAACUUAAAUAUAAUAAGAAAAUCAGGACAAAACCCCUAAAAAAUCUCCCCUUUUUGGCUUGAGUUUCUUCAAAAUAUUCUUGAUCCUUCUUCUCUUCAUAUCACGUGCAUGAACUUCGUUCUUGAUAUAAUCUUCAUAACUGUUGUUUGCCAUGAUUAAAAAUUGGUUUAAAAGUAAUAUUUUAUUUUUAUUUUUAAAGAUGCAGCAGUAGGAGUGUUGAAAAUAUGGUUGAAACUUGUUCUCCACAUGUAGUUCGACAAAAAACUUCGUUAUCCCCCAAAUUAUUGCAGCUUGAUUUUGAAAACCGCUUUGAACCUGUUUAAUCUCGUCUCACCACACCAUUGGACUAUUGAACCGUAAACUCUGAUACCACUUGUUUGGUUCGAAAUCGAGAGGGCGUCAUGCGGAAGCUAUUAGUUACAAACUAUUGAAACGAUAAAUCAAACAAAAAGAAAAACAUACUAAAACAUGAUUAUUAUAUAAUUUGACCAAUUGAUCUACAUAUAAAAACUUAGUAUAAAAGAAAAUAUAAAAUUAUUAGAGAGAAAAUAUCCCUCUAAAUAAAGACACUUUAAAGACUACAUUGUGGAUG
rnacentral:lncRNA from 1 species